rnacentral:rRNA from 1 species
CCUACGGGUGGCAGCAGUGGGGAAUAUUGGACAAUGGGCGAAAGCCUGAUCCAGCCAUGCCGCGUGUGUGAAGAAGGCCUUCGGGUUGUAAAGCACUUUCAGUGGGGAAGAAAGCCUUGGGGCUAAUACCCUCGAGGAAGGACAUCACCCACAGAAGAAGCACCGGCUAACUCCGUACCAGCAGCCGCGGUAAUACGGAGGGUGCGAGCGUUAAUCGGAAUUACUGGGCGUAAAGCGCGCGUAGGCGGUCUGAUAAGCCGGUUGUGAAAGCCCCGGGCUCAACCUGGGAACGGCAUCCGGAACUGUCAGGCUAGAGUGCAGGAGAGGAAGGUAGAAUUCCCGGUGUAGCGGUGAAAUGCGUAGAGAUCGGGAGGAAUACCAGUGGCGAAGGCGGCCUUCUGGACUGACACUGACGCUGAGGUGCGAAAGCGUGGGUAGCAAACAGGAUUAGAUACCCUUGUAGUC